CCUACGGGUGGCAGCAGUGAGGAAUAUUGGUCAAUGGACGAGAGUCUGAACCAGCCAAGUAGCGUGAAGGAUGACUGCCCUAUGGGUUGUAAACUGCUUUUAUACAGGGAUAAAACGAGGCACGUGUGCCUUUUUGCAGGUACCGUAUGAAUAAGGAUCGGCUAACUCCGUGCCAGCAGCCGCGGUAAUACGGAGGAUCCGGGCGUUAUCCGGAUUUAUUGGGUGUAAAGGGAGCGUAGGUGGGCUGUGAAGUGAGUCGUGAAAGGUUGCGGCUCAACCGUGAAAUUGCAAUGGAUACUGGCAGGCUUGAGUGCAGGUGAGGUAGGCGGAAUUCGUGGUGUAGCGGUGAAAUGCUUAGAUAUCACGCAGAACCCCGAUUGCGAAGGCAGCUUACUAAACUGUUACUGACAUUGAUGCUCGAAAGUGUGGGUAUCAAACAGGAUUAGAUACCCCUGUAGUC
rnacentral:rRNA from 1 species